rnacentral:rRNA from 1 species
GACGAACGCUGGCGGCGUGCCUAAUACAUGCAAGUAGAACGCUGAAGGAGGAGCUUGCUUCUCUGGAUGAGUUGCGAACGGGUGAGUAACGCGUAGGUAACCUGCCUGGUAGCGGGGGAUAACUAUUGGAAACGAUAGCUAAUACCGCAUAAUAGUAGAUGUUGCAUGACAUUUGCUUAAAAGGUGCAAUUGCAUCACUACCAGAUGGACCUGCGUUGUAUUAGCUAGUUGGUGGGGUAACGGCUCACCAAGGCGACGAUACAUAGCCGACCUGAGAGGGUGAUCGGCCACACUGGGACUGAGACACGGCCCAGACUCCUACGGGAGGCAGCAGUAGGGAAUCUUCGGCAAUGGACGGAAGUCUGGCCGAGCAACGCCGCGUGAGUGAAGAAGGUUUUCGGAUCGUAAAGCUCUGUUGUAAGAGAAGAACGAGUGUGAGAGUGGAAAGUUCACACUGUGACGGUAUCUUACCAGAAAGGGACGGCUAACUACGUG